AUGUCAAGUAUUUGGAUGAAUCAGUACUACUAUUUUUUUGGAUUUUUGUUCUUGACUUUUGUAAUUUUUCUCUUAAUGUGUGCC
rnacentral:ribozyme from 1 species